GGGAAUGUGGCUUAGUGGUAGAGUGCUUGCCUAGUAUGCAGGAAGCCCUGGGUUCAAUUCCUCAGUACUA
rnacentral:tRNA from 1 species